GUAAAAGAAAAAUUUUAAAUAAUUAAUUUUUAAUAUUUUGUAAAAAAAAAUAAUAUAUGUUAUUUCUAUAUUUUAUCUGGUUAUGCUAGGGUUUUAUCGCUUUCGGAGAAAAAAAUUAUUCUAUUCAAAAUGUUAAAAGCAUUAUUUAUGGUUCCACGUUAAUUCGGCGCCGAAAAUUCGGUGCACGACAAUUCGGCGCGGCGUCAAUUCAGCGCGGCGACAAUUUAGCGCAGCGUCAAUUCGGUUCGGCGACAAUUCAGCGCUGGCCUCAAAGGUCAACCAUUGAUAGACGCUAUAUUAUAUGGGAUUAAUAAAAGAUUUGAACAUAUAUAUAAGGAUCAAUAUGUUCUUUCUGCAAUUAUCCAGCAUUCAAACUUCAAUGGCCAUGGAGCCCUUCGAUUUACAAAAUGACUCAAAUUUCGUAAUUAUUUUUACAAUCUACCAUAAUUGUACUUAUUAAUUAAUUUUUUUAAAAAAAGAUAUUUUAUAUUUCCAUGUUUUAAAAAGAAUAUCCAUUAUGCAAAAGUUGUAUUGAAUUCAAAAAGCGAA